GACGAACGCUGGCGGCGUGCUUAACACAUGCAAGUCGAACGGAAAGGCCCUGCUUUUGUGGGGUGCUCGAGUGGCGAACGGGUGAGUAACACGUGAGUAACCUGCCCUUGACUUUGGGAUAACUUCAGGAAACUGGGGCUAAUACCGGAUAGGAGCUCCUGCUGCAUGGUGGGGGUUGGAAAGUUUCGGCGGUUGGGGAUGGACUCGCGGCUUAUCAGCUUGUUGGUGGGGUAGUGGCUUACCAAGGCUUUGACGGGUAGCCGGCCUGAGAGGGUGACCGGCCACAUUGGGACUGAGAUGCGGCCCAGACUCCUACGGGAGGCAGCAGUGGGGAAGAUUGCACAAUGGGCGGAAGCCUGAUGCAGCCACGCCGCGUGCGGGAUGACGGCCUUCGGGUUGUAAACCGCUUUCGCCUGUGACGAAGCGUGAGUGACGGUAAUGGGUAAAGAAGCACCGGCUAACUACGUG
rnacentral:rRNA from 1 species